ensembl:lncRNA
CAGGAACAAUAAUCAAUUAUACAGUUUAUCUGUCAUUUUAUUGUGGUGACUGUCUGACUGACUGAUCAGAACCAACACUAUGACAUCAAAUAUCUUAAAUAUUAAUUUGUUAAAUAAAAAUAAGAUCCUAUAUAUUGUUAUAUCUGGGUCAACUUUGGCAAGUAAAGUCCCCAAAAAUGUGAUAAAUGCCAUUUGAAUUCUGAUGGCUAAUCUUAAAUCUUGUAUUCUCGUAUACAUUUUUCAUUGCUGGGCUCCUGCCCUUGUUCUUUGGGCUGUAGAAACCCUUUGUGGCGCUCCUUGGUUUUCAGCAUGGAUAUUAAUCUUUUAAUGUGCUCUCCUUCACUCACUAUCUUCACGGCCUCCAUCUUUGUAUGAAUAUAAAGGCUAUGGCUUUUUAAAGUGACAGCUUCCCCCCUCACCUCACCAUCUCUGUCUCUCUCUCUCUCUCUCUCUCUCUCUAUCUGUUGCACAUUUAGGCCUCACACUUUGAUGAACGACUGUUAUUCCAGGAACGAGAGGGUCUGAAGCAACAGGACACUCUUAAAUCUGCAGUGACGAGAGAGGCCCUGUUUCCUGACCCUUCUGAGAACGUCUUUGAAAUGUGCCUGAAACGCUUCAGCGCCAACAGGGGAAACGGUGUGGCGGUUAAGUGUGGAGGUCAAGGCUCGUUUGCAGCAUUUGUUGUGUAUAAACAAAGACAUGCAUAUUACAUAAUGCAAAAUAACUACACGGCUGUCGUCAUUUAAACGAGAUCAGGCAGAGAACUCUGGGUGAUUGCGUGUAAGGGAGCAUCUCUCAUCUCUGUGUGCACGUGUACAUGCUCACACACACCAAAGUCUAGACACCUGUUGCUGCACUAUUGAUGUGAACUCAUGUAUGUCAACAUUAAUCACACAGUGCAGAGAAAGGUGCGGUACAAUGCAUGAUGGGAUAGAUAAACUGUCAUGUGAUAAAUCUGCUUUGUCAACCUUUUAACUUAAACAGCGCCAUUGGAAGCUGCGUUCUGUAUUUGAAAAAGGAAAGGUGUGUGUUAUGAAACCAUCCAUGCAGAAGCCGAGUGUACAAAAUAUUAAGCCGCAGAUGGUUGUUAGUUUUCUAGUGGUCAAAUGAAUGCAGGCAUGUUAUGACUUUUUUAGCAUUCAACCUUUUUGUGCCUCAGGUAUAAAAGCCAAUUUGUAAGAUAAAGUUUGAAAAGAAAAUUUAAUUUUGAGAUAACAAGUUGCAAUGACAAGAUGUAAAAAGUCACCAUAGUAAAAUAUAAACUCACAAUUAUAUAAAAUCAAAUUGAUAACAGAAAAUAAAGUCUCGACUGUAAAGUAAGAAGUCA